ACCUGUGUGCUUUGUAUGGAGUUGGAACGUUUGCCUACGUUUGCCGCCAGGGGCGCUGUUCCAACUCCAUACAAAUUUGAGCUA
rnacentral:pre_miRNA from 1 species